rnacentral:rRNA from 1 species
GAUGAACGCUGGCGGCGUGCCUAAUACAUGCAAGUCGAGCGAACAGACGAGGAGCUUGCUCCUCUGACGUUAGCGGCGGACGGGUGAGUAACACGUGGAUAACCUACCUAUAAGACUGGGAUAACUUCGGGAAACCGGAGCUAAUACCGGAUAACAUGUUGAACCGCAUGGUUCAACAGUGAAAGACGGUCCUGCUGUCACUUAUAGAUGGAUCCGCGCCGCAUUAGCUAGUUGGUAAGGUAACGGCUUACCAAGGCUACGAUGCGUAGCCGACCUGAGAGGGUGAUCGGCCACACUGGAACUGAGACACGGUCCAGACUCCUACGGGAGGCAGCAGUAGGGAAUCUUCCGCAAUGGGCGAAAGCCUGACGGAGCAACGCCGCGUGAGUGAAGAAGGUCUUCGGAUCGUAAAACUCUGUUAUUAGGGAAGAACAAAUGUGUAAGUAACGAUGCACGUCCUGACGGUACCUAAUCAGAAAGCCACGGCUAACUACGUGC